ACCAAUCUGUAAUUCUUGGAAAGGAAACAAGAAACACUGAAGCAAGUAGCACAGUUCAGUUUUUAGCAGACGGUUCCUAGGUAAUUUUAUGAACUGUAGUUUACAUGAUAGAGCAUUUAGCAAUUAUCAAAGACCAGCAAGAAGAGUUUUUAUUUGGCAAACCACCAGAUGAAGUACGUGUUCUUAUUGGUAACUGGCCAGUUCGCCGAGGCUGUAGAUGACCCGUCUUAGCCGAACAUCAAGUCAUCUGCUCGAAUUCAUUCAAUAAACAACUGAGUUUCAAAGUUAAUAAUUUAAACCAAACGACUAUUGAUUAAUUAAAGCAAGUAACUUGAUGUUCAGCGUGAAGACAGGUUGUUUGUCUACGAGUAUUCUCAUCUGGUCCCUUG
rnacentral:misc_RNA from 1 species